GACGAAGGUGGCAAGCGUUGCUCGGAAUUACUGGGCAUAAAGGGCGCGUAGGUGGCGCGGUAAGUCGGUAGUGAAAGCCUGUGGCUCACCCACAGAACGGCUAUCGAUACUGCCGUGCUCGAGGGCAAGAGGGGAGAGUGGAACUCCUGGUGUAGCGGUGAAAUGCGUAGAUAUCAGGAGGAACGCCGGUGGCGAAAGCGACUCUCUGGAUUGCACCUGACACUGAGGCGCGAAAGCUAGGGGAGCAAACAGG
rnacentral:misc_RNA from 1 species